GCCCGCUUGGCACAGCGGUAAUGCGCCUCACUAGUACUUACGUACUCCAAUGAGGAAGCUAUGAGGAGAUGACUGGUUCGACUCCAGUAGUGGGCA